GACGAACGCUGGCGGCGUGCCUAAUACAUGCAAGUCGAACGAAGUGGCGAACGGGUGAGUAAUACGUGAGUAACCUGCCCUCCUUUUUGGGAUAAGCCUUGGAAACGGGGUCUAAUACCGAAUAAAGGGGGUUGGUCUCGCGGCCUAGCAGCUUGGUGGUGGGGUGAUGACCUACCAAGGCGGUGACGGGUAGCCGGCCUGGGUGGGUGACCGGCGACAUUGGACCUGGGCUACGGCCCAGAGUGCGACGGGAGGGAGCAGUGGGGGAUAUUGCACAAUGGGCUGAAGCCUGAUGCAGCGAUGCGGCGUGGGGGAUGAAGGCUUUCGGGUUGUAAUCCUCUUUCGCUAUCGAAAGGGUAGGUGGAGAAGAAGCGCCGGCUAACUACGUGCCAGCAGCCGCGGUAAUAC
rnacentral:rRNA from 1 species